rnacentral:rRNA from 1 species
GUAUCUAAUCCUGUUUGCUCCCCACGCUUUCGCACCUCAGUGUCAGUAUCAGUCCAGGUGGUCGCCUUCGCCACUGGUGUUCCUUCCUAUAUCUACGCAUUUCACCGCUACACAGGAAAUUCCACCACCCUCUACCAUACUCUAGCUCGUCAGUUUUGAAUGCAGUUCCCAGGUUGAGCCCGGGGAUUUCACAUCCAACUUAACGAACCACCUACGCGCGCUUUACGCCCAGUAAUUCCGAUUAACGCUUGCACCCUCUGUAUUACCGCGGCUGCUGGCACAGAGUUAGCCGGUGCUUAUUCUGUCGGUAACGUCAAAACAGCAAAGUAUUAAUUUACUGCCCUUCCUCCCAACUUAAAGUGCUUUACAAUCCGAAGACCUUCUUCACACACGCGGCAUGGCUGGAUCAGGCUUUCGCCCAUUGUU